GACAUUUCAAGAUUUCUCUCCUCAGUCAUGGAUUAAAGAACAGAAAUUCACUACGUAAUUGCCACAAUAGUCCAGGCUUUCCCGAGUCUUGCUGUGCUAUACUCUCCUGUUUGAACAGAUAUUUGACCAUAAAAAAAUAAAACUGGUUCUUGUAAUUUCCUGCGACAGUCAGAUAUCUCUACUAGAGGAAUCUACUGCUGUGAAUACUUCUAAAGAGGUCUCACACUCAAGAAAGGUUUUAUAGUUCUGCAAGAGAUUUUGAAUCUUUUGGCCAAGCUUAAAAAGACGGCAAAAAGCUGAAAAGAGAAGCGAAGUUGCUACAGGAAAAGGUGGAGAUGAAUGUGAUGUCCAAGAAAGCUCCCAAGUUGCAGCUGCAAUUGGCGAUAUUAAUGCUGCAGAACAUGAAUUUGUUUUCUGUCUGUCAGGCAUUAAUGGUUUGAUGCAGUUAAAAGUGAUGCAUUCGUAAGUAUAGCAAAAUUCCUG